GUACAUGGCAAAAAUAUAAUAUAAAAUUAGUAUUAUUAAUAUAUUGAUCAAAAUAAGUAGUAUAAGUAUUUAAUAUAGCUAACAGUAAAAUCAUAUCUCUUAGGGAAGCAUAGGCCACUAGUAAAUAGUCGUCCACAUAAAAAAUAUGGGAUAUUUUAGGACCCCCCCAAACUUUGUACCCAUGAAGGAGAUGCAUUUGAAUCACUGUGUG
rnacentral:lncRNA from 1 species